rnacentral:tRNA from 1 species
GCGCCCGUAGCUCAAUUGGAUAGAGCAUCAGGCUUCGAACCUGAGGGUUGGGGGUUCAAGUCCUCCCGGGCGCGCCA